rnacentral:rRNA from 1 species
UACGAAGGGGGCUAGCGUUGUUCGGAUUUACUGGGCGUAAAGCGCACGUAGGCGGAUCGUUAAGUCCGGGGUGAAAUCCUGGGGCUCAACCCCAGAACUGCCUUUGAUACUGGCGAUCUCGAGUCCGGAAGAGGUGAGUGGAACUCCUAGUGUAGAGGUGGAAUUCGUAGAUAUUAGGAAGAACACCAGUGGCGAAGGCGGCUCACUGGUCCGGUACUGACGCUGAGGUGCGAAAGCGUGGGGAGCAAACAGG